UGGGGAAUUUUGGACAAUGGGCGAAAGCCUGAUCCAGCCAUGCCGCGUGAGUGAAGAAGGCCUUCGGGUUGUAAAGCUCUUUUAGUCGGAAAGAAAGAGUUGCAAUGAAUAAUUAUGAUUCAUGACGGUACCGACAGAAAAAGCACCGGCUAACUACGUGCCAGCAGCCGCGGUAAUACGUAGGGUGCGAGCGUUAAUCGGAAUUACUGGGCGUAAAGGGUGCGCAGGCGGUUUUGUAAGUCAGAUGUGAAAUCCCCGGGCUUAACCUGGGAAUUGCGUUUGAAACUGCAAGACUAGAGUGCAGCAGAGGGGAGUGGAAUUCCAUGUGUAGCAGUGAAAUGCGUAGAGAUGUGGAAGAACACCGAUGGCGAAGGCAGCUCCCUGGGUUGACACUGACGCUCAUGCACGAAAGCGUGGGGAGCAAACA
rnacentral:rRNA from 1 species